rnacentral:rRNA from 2 species
GUAUUAAAACUUUCAACAACGGAUCUCUUGGCUCUAGCAUCGAUGAAGAACGCAGCGAAAUGCGAUAAGUAAUGUGAAUUGCAGAAUUCAGUGAAUCAUCGAAUCUUUGAACGCACAUUGCGCCCAGCAGUACUCUGCUGGGCAUGCCUGUCCGAGCGUCAUUUCACCACUCAAGCUCUGCUUG